UGAUUUCCUUAGAGGCAAAGUCAGGCGGAGAC
rnacentral:piRNA from 1 species